rnacentral:rRNA from 1 species
GACGAACGCUGGCGGCGUGCCUAAUACAUGCAAGUAGAACGCUGAAGGAGGAUCUUGCUUCUCUGGAUGAGUUGCGAACGGGUGAGUAACGCGUAGGUAACCUGCCUGGUAGCGGGGGAUAACUAUUGGAAACGAUAGCUAAUACCGCAUAAGAGUAGAUGUUGCAUGACAUUUGCUUAAAAGGUGCAAUUGCAUCACUACCAGAUGGACCUGCGUUGUAUUAGCUAGUUGGUGGGGUAACGGCUCACCAAGGCGACGAUACAUAGCCGACCUGAGAGGGUGAUCGGCCACACUGGGACUGAGACACGGCCCAGACUCCUACGGGAGGCAGCAGUAGGGAAUCUUCGGCAAUGGACGGAAGUCUGACCGAGCAACGCCGCGUGAGUGGAGAAGGUUUUCGGAUCGUAAAGCUCUGUUGUAAGAGAAGAACGAGUGUGAGAGUGGAAAGUUCACACUGUGACGGUAUCUUACCAGAAAGGGACGGCUAACUACGUG